AGAUGAAGGUUGCUUGUAGUUAGCUGUAAAUUCAAGGCAAUGAAUCUAGAUACGCUUCCCUGUAAAGUUUCUAAACCUUGACAAUUUAUGUCAUCUUCGUUUAUUAUGUCUUUUCUACUUCUAUUUUCGUUUAUGAAAAUUCAACAUUUUAUCAUUCAUGCCACCUUUUUUUCUAAAGGUUGCACGAUAUAGGCCUGUAAUAAUGUGUGACUCAAAUUUGAAAUGUUUUUGCUGAAUAAAACGAAGUCUGCAACAGGUCGUAAUAAAACAUCUUAAACAAGAAUACGACGCCCAUUUCAAAGUAACCAUAAGAAAUGUGAGCACCUCUUGCGUGACCAUCCUCCAGGCACAAGCUAUUCCAAGGUCACAAUGCGAGAUUAUUAUUUGUCUUUACAGUUCCAAGGUAAUGAUAUUUAUUAUUAUUACGCUGCCGUGUCUCACCGCAAACAUUUUCGUUGAGGACCAGAGAAAAGGUGUUGAGGACGUUGAGUAUUUGUGCGUAUUUGUGUCUGGGUGACAAUCAAUCGCUGACUCAUGUUCAAGGCCAACUCGAUUGCAAGUACGUUUUUUUCUAAAUGUUAAUUAUAAAAAUUUCAUGUUAAAAAACAAGUUUCAUUACAUUAAAUUUAUUCCGGAAAAUUCCAUAAAAAACGCGCAAUGCAUCCUUGAAAAUCCAGCGUAUUUUUCGUGAUUUUAGAAGAAGGAACAACGCGUAAGAAUGAAGGAAAACCCAGGUUGAGCAAUAGGGAAAAAAAAAACUUGAUUGUUCAGUUGCACAAUUCAAAUUAAGACGUGAAU